rnacentral:rRNA from 1 species
GAUGAACGCUGGCGGCGUGCUUAACACAUGCAAGUCGAACGGAAAGGCUCCUGCUUGCAGGGGUACUCGAGUGGCGAACGGGUGAGUAACACGUGGGUGAUCUGCCCAGCACUUCGGGAUAAGCCUGGGAAACUGGGUCUAAUACCGGAUAGGACGAUGGUUUGGAUGCCAUUGUGGAAAGUUUUUUCGGUGUGGGAUGAGCUCGCGGCCUAUCAGCUUGUUGGUGGGGUAAUGGCCUACCAAGGCGUCGACGGGUAGCCGGCCUGAGAGGGUGUACGGCCACAUUGGGACUGAGACACGGCCCAGACUCCUACGGGAGGCAGCAGUGGGGAAUAUUGCACAAUGGGCGCAAGCCUGAUGCAGCGACGCCGCGUGGGGGAUGACGGCCUUCGGGUUGUAAACUCCUUUCGCUAGGGACGAAGCGCAAGUGACGGUACCUGGAGAAGAAGCACCGGCUAACUACGUG